rnacentral:lncRNA from 1 species
UUUACUUAGUACCUGCUCUGCCAGGCCAGAUUCUUGGCACACCUCUGAGGAAAGCACUUUGGCCCCAUUUACAGGUGAUGAAACAGAAGCAAAGAGAAACUAAGUAACUUUCCAAAGGCUGCACAGCUGGCAAGGGGUAGAGCUGGAGGACUUGAAGCCAUCUACAUUAACUCCAACACCCUGGCAUCCAGGCAGGCAGCGUGGCCCGAUGGUCUGGUCCAGAACUAGGCAUGACGGUAGUGUUGGAUUCUCACUGUGCCUUAGCUCUCUGCUGAGCCAAGGCCAGCCUCAGUUUCCCCACCUGUGCAGAACUGGCCUGAGACUGUGCCUGAUGUUUCCAGCUGUAACUCUUGCUGGCAAGGAGUUCUUCCCUGAUACAUGAGCAGACCACUUGGGGCUGUGGCUUCUCACUAGGAACCAGGUGGCUAGAAUCUUUGGGUCACACGGUGCCGUGCUGCUGGCCUUGGGAAUCAGGGCUGGGUACAUCUACAGGGUGGGCUGCCUGUAUGUGUAGAGAGGUACUGGCCAGAGCCCCAGGGAGUGUGGUCACUCAGGGGCCUUGGAGCAGUCCAUUGCUGAAGGCCAGGUGAUGCCCCCCAUAUCUGAUGGAGGUCAUUGGGAACCCUAGAGCCUGCCAGCAGGCUGUGACCUCUGGGACCCUCCUGGUAUCACCCAUUUGUCCAUGGCUGGGUGCUCUUUGACUUCUGAUUCCUGUUGCAGGGUCUUCUUGCUUGGUGAGCCUGGUGGUUGGCCAACAGCUCUGGCAUUGUGGGACCCACACCAGCCAGGUUAGCCUCCCAUCCGCUGGACAUCAUGGGAGUACUGAGCAUCAGUUCCUCCUUAGUCUUGCAACAGGUGUGUCCUGAAUGUGUGGUUAUGAAACCUGCAACUAUUUCCUGCAUGAAAGAUUCUUCCUUUUCCUCCCCUGGACUUCCCCCCAUCCUUCCUCCCUGCCUCCCCUCCCCAAGAAAAGUGCGGGCAGCUUAGGGAGUGGAGGGAAGGGGUGGCUUUGUCAAACACAGUCUGGCCACAUUCUACCUGGAGUAGGCCAGGCCUCUAAGAAGAACAUCCAGGGCUCACACCAGUUUCUCAUCCUUCUCUUUCCUCUCCCCAUCUGAAAGAGAAAAGAGAGGGGACCCUAGAAAUCUCAGAAGAUUCCAGUCCUGCUUAGGAUGAUGAGCCAACAAGCCAUAUGACAGCUAUUGUCAUGUGACUCAUCUCAGCCUCAGGUUUCUGUCCCACUGUGCCACCUGUGAGUCAUUCCUGCGAAGCCUCCAGCUCUCCAUGGAGAAGGCUUUGGGCUGCCAGCAACUCCCUCACUGAGUCAUCUCGCACUGCAAGUGAGGUUUUUCAUGACAUCCUGCUUUCCACGCAGACUCUCGGAGGGCCCAGAGAGAUGGAACGGUUCCCAGGGCGCUGGCACUUCCAUUGGCAGCAGCAGAAGAACCAAAAUAGGACACACCAAAUGGAUCUAAUUUUGCCUGAACCUCGGUCUGCAAGGUUUGGGGGUACACCCUGGGGGAGGAUCAGAGCUGGGUCCAGAGGGGCCUUUGCUCUCCCUCCUUGCUCCUUCUACCUUCACCCCAUUUGACGAGCUGUGCCAUGUCAGGGCUUGGCUCCAUAGUGCUGGUUUUAAAAAGGCGCCUCACUCAUAGCUAUUCAGAUUUCAGAAAUAAAUGCUCUACACCACUGAUCAAAACGCCUGGAGUCAACAGAGCCGGUGACAUCUUAAGAAAUGCACCCGGUACUUAAGGCUUUCUUCUUAAUUAUACAUGUUCAAAUCAUAGACAGAUUUUCUCCUUCUGGUCCUGAAUAUCGGAGCUGCCAAAUCCAAUUGAAUCAUCUUCUUUUAAAUGCAUUUUGCAGUACGCGUUUCGCCGUUUUCCCAAUUUCCAUUGUAAACGAGCACCAGAAUUGUGCUGAGGGCCCUUUUCUUACAGGCUGCAUUAUUCAACCAGCAAAUGAAGAAAGGAAAGUGCUGAUUGC